GAUGAACGCUGGCGGCGUGCUUAACACAUGCAAGUCGAACGGAAAGGCCCUGCUUUUGUGGGGUGCUCGAGUGGCGAACGGGUGUGUAACACGUGAGUAACCUGCCCUUGACUUUGGGAUAACUUCAGGAAACUGGGGCUAAUACCGGAUAGGAGCUCCUGCCGCAUGGUGGGGGUUGGAAAGUUUCGGCGGUUGGGGAUGGACUCGCGGCAUAUCAGCUUGUUGGUGGGGUAGUGGCUUACCAAGGCUUUGACGGGUAGCCGGCCUGAGAGGGUGACCGGCCACAUUGGGACUGAGAUACGGCCCAGACUCCUACGGGAGGCAGCAGUGGGGAAUAUUGCACAAUGGGCGGAAGCCUGAUGCAGCGACGCCGCGUGCGGGAUGACGGCCUUCGGGUUGUAAACCGCUUUCGCCUGUGACGAAGCGUGAGUGACGGUAAUUGGUAAAGAAGCACCGGCUAACUACGUG
rnacentral:rRNA from 1 species